UCAAAAUGGUGGGUAGCCAGUGCUGUAGGAUUUUGUUUGGGUUUUUUGCAAUCACAGAUAUGUUGUUUUACGAUCUGCCUGCACAGAUUUUCCAUAUUGUUUAUUUAUUUUGAUACACCUAUAUUUAAUAUUUAUAUUUUAAUUGCUGUUAUUUGUGGCAUGAAUAAAAUGAAUACCACAAUGGAAAUUAUUUCAUAAGGCAAUAAACAAUUUUCAUGGUGUUCAGCAGAAUAAAACUUUUCAAAUCUACACACUGAUUUCUCCAUAUUUCCUGGAAUUCUUUCUCAACUAACUAUAAUGUACACCAAUCCUAUAAUUUUAUUAAUUCGGGCAUAUCAAACUGAAAUUAACAAAAUAUCUGAUGGACGCAUUUUUACUCUACACCCAUAGGAUAAAAAUGUGCAAGAUAGCUGUCUAAACAUAUUAUUUUAGAGACCUGCAGACAGAAUGACAAUCACACCUCAAAUGACUUUAUCCUCUAUUUACGGUUUGGAUAUUCAUCAGCCGAAGUUACCAUCAAAUUUAGAGUAAUGACACAUGAAGCGGUUUUGACAGAUGCAUUUAUCGCAUCUGUUUAGCCAGCUGUGACACAUGAAGUGGUUAAACAAAGUAUGUAUCAUUAAUUAUGAGAGAACAAUCUUAAAGAAAAAAAUCUGCCAAUUUUUAAGCUAUGUUCUCUCUUUUCCAGUAUUUCUUCAAAUGUAUCAUUAGCAAACGAUCAAUAAUUUCAGGAGUCCUGAUGUCCUAGAAAAAAGUAGGCUUUUCUACCACCAGAAUCAAUUUGUGUUGUGGAACUAAUAAAAUAAAAUAUUAACAGGACAUAAAGUGAUGGUAUGAACUGCUCAGACUUGCCACAUAUAUUGGGGAUGACUCAAUACUGGGCCAGGAAUUUUCAAACACUCAGGUCAUCUCAACCAGCAUGGACUCGGUUUCAAAACCAACAGGUGGUAUGCAUGUGCCAGCACAAUGCUACAGCUGAGGGCAACUCAGUGACUCAAUUUUUCUCUCAAUAAACACUUUGAUUAAAGCCA